UACGUAGGGGGCAAGCGUUGUCCGGAAUCAUUGGGCGUAAAGCGCGUGUAGGCGGCCCGGUAAGUCCGCUGUGAAAGUCGGGGGCUCAACCCUCGAAUGCCGGUGGAUACUGUCGGGCUAGAGUGCGGAAGAGGCGAGUGGAAUUCCUGGUGUAGCGGUGAAAUGCGUAGAGAUCGGGAGGAACAUCAGUUGCGAAGGCGGCUCUCUGGACCAGCACUGACACUGAGGCACGAAAGCGUGGGGGAGCAAACAGG
rnacentral:rRNA from 1 species